rnacentral:rRNA from 1 species
ACAGAGGUCCCGAGCGUUGUUCGGAUUCACUGGGCGUAAAGGGUGCGUAGGUGGCAUGGUAAGUUUGAUGUGAAAGCUCAGGGCUUAACCCUGAAAUGGCAUUGAAUACUACUGUGCUGGAGGUUUGGAGGGGGGACUGGAAUUCUCGGUGUAGCAGUGAAAUGCGUAGAUAUCGAGAGGAACACCAGUGGCGAAGGCGAGUCCCUGGACAACACCUGACACUGAGGCACGAAAGCUAGGGGAGCAAACAGGA